AUGAAAGCCUUCGACAACACAUUUUCCCUUUCACUUUCGACGGCCGCUCUUCCUCCGGGCGGCCAUGAAGGGACGGCUGGUGUUUCUGUUGCUGCCGUUGAUCUGGGCGGAGGGGGCCCCCUUGGAGGCAAAAACACCCAUGUGAGUUGGAGAAAAGAAAGGAGUGAUAUCUCUCCUUUCCUCCGGUUGUGUCUCUGCCUUUUGCCAACAUCAGCAAAGGUGCUCAGCAAUAGCCAGGAAUUCUUCCUAGCUUCAGCGACAAACAGCAGAAAAGGUGAUUGUUUGCAGAACAUAAUUGGCCUUAAAGGAAAAGAUGCUCUCUUGGCGCCAGUAGUUAUUGGCACCCCGACGUAUAUUACCUGGAAAAAAGAAGAAAACAUAGUGCAUGAGUGGAAUGGGACCUCUGAUCAUUCAAAUGGCAACUUGAUUAUCAAAAAUGUGUCACACAGUGAUGAUGGACUUUACACAGCAGAAAUACAAAUGGGAACUAAAUUAGAAUACUGUCAUUUCUGUCUGAAAAUAUUAGAAUAUCUAGAACCACCUGUUUUAUACUGUUCGGACCACAGUGAUGACAUCCAGGUAAACUGUGCAUCACCUCCACAGAACUACUCCCACAAUCUACCUGUGUCAUACCAUUGGGAACACACAGGAGAGGUUAUUGAUCAUGGACUGCAGUCUAUUAAACUAUCGAAGAAUGAAGGCCUUCCUGAGAAAAUUACAUGCAUUAUUCACAUAUACAAUGUACAUGCCAGUAGCUCCAUUGCGUUAACUGAAUGUCUUUCAAUAGAAUCUGAUCAAGGGCGAAGUCGACCAGCACUGAUUGGGGUGUUUGGGGUUCUGGUGAUCGUAUUGCUUGUAUUUGGUCUGUGGAAGAAAGAUCGUUUAACACAUUGGCUGAAUACCAGGAAGCAGAAAAGACAAGAAGAUCCAGGCAAUGCUGAUGUUCCACUGAAUGAAAUGCUAACCGAUAAUGGUCCCAGAUGUGUAUCAGAGGAUUUAAAAGAUAACAGGAGCGAAGACACUGGUGACGAUGUUCCACUGAAUGAAACACCUGAUGACUCCAAAUGUGUACUAGAGAAUUCGAAAGAUGACAGGAGGGAAGGCAAUGCUGAUGUUCCACUGAAUGAAAUGCUAACCGAUAAUGGUCCCAGAUGUGUAUCAGAGGAUUUAAAAGAUAACAGGAGCGAAGACACUGGUGACGAUGUUCCACUGAAUGAAACACCUGAUGACUCCAAAUGUGUACUAGAGAAUUCGAAAGAUGACAGGAGGGAAGGCAAUGCUGAAGAUGUUCCACUGAAUGAAACACCUGAUGACUCCAAAUGUGUACUAGAGAAUUCAAAAGAUGACAGGAGGGAAGGAAAUUCUACAACUGCAAAAGCUUAA
ensembl:lncRNA